UGGGGGAUAUUGCACAAUGGGCGAAAGCCUGAUGCAGCGACGCCGCGUGGGGGAUGAAGGCCUUCGGGUUGUAAACUUCUUUUGCUCUGAACAAGGCAUGCCUUUGGGGUGUGUUGAGUGUAGGGGUUGAUUAGCGCCGGCUAACUACGUGCCAGCAGCCGCGGUAAUACGUAGGGCGCGAGCGUUGUCCGGAAUUAUUGGGCGUAAAGGGCUUGUAGGUGGCUGGUUGCGUCUGUCGUGAAAGCUCAUGGCUUAACUGUGGGUUUGCGGUGGGUACGGGCUGGCUUGAGUGCAGUAGGGGAGGCUGGAAUUCCGGGUGUAGCGGUGGAAUGCGAAGAUAUCAGGAGGAAUACCGGUGGCGAAGGCGGGUCUCUGGGCUGUUACUGACGCUGAGGAGCGAAAGCGUGGGGAGCGAACAGG
rnacentral:rRNA from 1 species